GUUGCUCACAAAUAGAUGACCAGCUGUAACCAUCGACACCCUUCUUUAUGAUGGCUUGUUUGGCAACAUGGGUUGGCAUUUCUUCGCUCUCCUCUCCUUUACCUGGCCACAAGCAUGCUCGUACCUCAUCCGUGGUUAACAGAAUGAAGUCUUUUCCUGUAUCAUCUUUCUCAGGUUCUACACUCCAGGGAAUCCUAGAAAGAACGUCGGCAUUGAUGUUUUGUCUUCCAGGUUUGUAACAAACCUCAAAGUUGAAUUCUGAUAACUGAGCAACCCAGCGCUGCUCCACUGCUCCAAGAUUGGCUGUUUCCAGGUAUCGGAGGGGAUUGUGGUCAGUGACUACUUGAAACUUUGCAAACAUCAGAACCCUUCAGACCACGGCUCGCAUAGGCGACGACACGCUCUAUACCCCCCUGCUUUUGGCUGAGGAUCGCUCCAAGUCCAUUGCGACUCCCAUCCGUCGUCAGUAUGAACGGACACUGGAAAUCAGGAGCAUGCAAGGGCUUUGCCAGCUGUGCAAACCUCGGGACAAAACGGCGGUAGUAACUCAUAAAUCCCAACAGCUGUCUGACUUCUCUAACAUUUGUUGGCUUAGGCCAUGCAUCCAAGCACUGUACUUUGUCCAUAUCCACUUGAAUUCCCUUCACUGAAAUUAUGUGUCCUAAGAACCUGACUUCUGGCUUAAAGAGGAAACAUUUACUGGGCUUCAGUUUCAGGCCGUGUUGACGUAACCUUGAGAACACAAGCUCCAGUCUUUCACAAUGAGACUUGAAAUCUUCUGAGAACACAAUGAUAUCAUCAAGGUAGAUCAAAAGAACAUCGAAGGCCAGAUCACCUAGUGCUGCACCCAUCAAACGUUGAAAGGUGGCUGGAGCGUUACAUAAACCAAACGGCAUCCGUGUCCACUCAAACAAUCCAAAAGGUGUCGUGACAGCAGUCUUCUCCCGGUCUGACUCACUUACUGCCACCUGGAAAUAACCGGCCGUGAGAUCUAAUGUGGAAAACAACUUUGCAUUGCCUAAAGCAUCCAAAGAUUCUUCUACACGAGGAAGGGGGUAAGCAUCUUUGAAUGUGACUUGAUUAAGUCUCCUGUAGUCACAACAGAA